rnacentral:rRNA from 1 species
UGCAGUCGUACGCUUCUUUUUCCACCGGAGCUUGCUCCACCGGAAAAAGAAGAGUGGCGAACGGGUGAGUAACACGUGGGUAACCUGCCCAUCAGAAGGGGAUAACACUUGGAAACAGGUGCUAAUACCGUAUAACAAUCGAAACCGCAUGGUUUUGAUUUGAAAGGCGCUUUCGGGUGUCGCUGAUGGAUGGACCCGCGGUGCAUUAGCUAGUUGGUGAGGUAACGGCUCACCAAGGCCACGAUGCAUAGCCGACCUGAGAGGGUGAUCGGCCACAUUGGGACUGAGACACGGCCCAAACUCCUACGGGAGGCAGCAGUAGGGAAUCUUCGGCAAUGGACGAAAGUCUGACCGAGCAACGCCGCGUGAGUGAAGAAGGUUUUCGGAUCGUAAAACUCUGUUGUUAGAGAAGAACAAGGAUGAGAGUAACUGUUCAUCCCUUGACGGUAUCUAACCAGAAAGCCACGGCUAACUACGUGCCAGCAGCCGCGGUAAUACGUAGGUGGCAAGCGUUGUCCGGAUUUAUUGGGCGUAAAGCGAGCGCAGGCGGUUUCUUAAGUCUGAUGUGAAAGCCCCCGGCUCAACCGGGGAGGGUCAUUGGAAACUGGGAGACUUGAGUGCAGAAGAGGAGAGUGGAAUUCCAUGUGUAGCGGUGAAAUGCGUAGAUAUAUGGAGGAACACCAGUGGCGAAGGCGGCUCUCUGGUCUGUAACUGACGCUGAGGCUCGAAAGCGUGGGGAGCAAACAGGAUUAGAUACCCUGGUAGUCCACGCCGUAAACGAUGAGUGCUAAGUGUUGGAGGGUUUCCGCCCUUCAGUGCUGCAGCUAACGCAUUAAGCACUGCGGCCUGGGGGAGUACGACCGCAAGGUUGAAACUCAAAGGAAUUGACGGGGGCCCGCACAAGCGGUGGAGCAUGGUGGUUUGAAUUC